rnacentral:lncRNA from 1 species
GACACACACAAUUAACACAUAGCAGAGACAUGGCUACCUCUCCUCGUGCAGCCGUUGCCGGCGUGGUAGCGGCGGCGGCGGUGGCGCUGUGCCUCCACGGCGCGGCGGCGCAGCUGUGCGAGGACUACUACGACGACACGUGCCCUGACGCCUACGACAUCGUGAAGCAGGUGCUCAUCGACGCCCACAGGUCGGACGUGCGCAUCUACGCCAGCCUCAUCCGCCUCCACUUCCACGACUGCUUCGUCCUGGUAACGAACCUUUCCUUCCUCUGUCUGCUAGGACGCCAUGGCCGUGCCCAUGCAUUGUUAUUUCCUUGGUGAUGCCAUGGCCGUUUAUGUUAUAUUGUUCAUAUAUAAUAGGGCUGCGACGGGUCGAUCCUGCUGGACAACAUGACUGGGAUGCAGACGGAGAAGGAGGCGGUGCCCAACAUGGGCUCGGCGCGCGGGUACGAUGUGGUGGACGCAGCCAAGGCAGCGCUGGAGGACGCCUGCCCCGGCGUCGUCUCGUGCGCCGACAUCCUCGCCCUCGCCGCAGAGAUCUCCGUCGAGCUGGUACGUUUCUCCUAAAUAAACAUGCAGCAAAACGUACGUGCAUCUGGAUUGUAAGUUUAUAUGAUGCAUGUAGCAAAACUUUUCAUGACGUACGUGCUUGAUGGAUGGAUGCAUGCAUCAUAUCUAUCACUCCUGUACUCAGUUACUCACCAUGCAUGCAUAAGGGGUAAGCAUGCAUGCUGGGUUACUUGUUCCAAGAAUGUUACCACAGAGUUCAGUCCCUCCCGCUGACGUAAAUCAGAGUGACAUCAGUUGCUCUUGCUCCAAUCCCUCGAUCAGUUACAAAUAAGUGUAUGCAUGGACUUCACGAAACACAACUUUUUAAGUACUACCCUUUUUAGUACACCCUAUAAAUAAGUAUCAUACUAAUACAGGUAACUUUUAAUGAAAGUUUAAACCAUCCAACUAUAGAUAACUCAACUCUUCGACGUGUAAAAAAAUUAAUAUGGAGCGAGUAUCUUGGUAAUAGAAUCUACGACAUGAAUUAGCUAAGACUGUAUGGAGGGCCAAUCCGAAAAACAAUCCAAGACCUCUUGGUCUUGAAUAUCAGAAAACGAUGAACAAACUGGUCUUUGCUUGGGAACAAAAUAAUAUGUAUUAUCCACAUAGGAUAUCUUCAAAACGAGAAAAUCCAUCGAUCUGAGACAAAGAGAAAGACUUUUUACUUAUUCAGUUAAACCAAGGAUUCAUUACGGAAAAGAUAGAAACAACCAUUCCAUCAGACAUACACAUUUUUAUUAUCUGGCGGGCUUAUAUAAUUUCAUUAAUGGAAAUUGUCUGCUGGCUAGCUGUAAUUUUUCAUUAAUGCUCUCCCACGCAGUCUGGAGGCCCAAAGUGGGGUGUUCUGCUGGGGAGGCUGGACGGCAAGACGUCCAGCAUCAGCGGCGCAAACAACCUGCCGGCGCCCUUCGAGACCCUCGACAUGCUUCGGAGAAAGUUCAGGGCCGUCGGCCUUAACAGCGACGUCGACCUCGUCGCCCUGUCAGGUAGUACAAUAUUUAUUUCUCACUCCACACGAUCUUCACUGCAUCGGUUGGGUUUUCCUCGGACUCGACGUAUAUCAAAAUUAUAUAGUUACCAUAUAUAAUAUAAUAUAUAUAUGUAUAUGUAUAAUAUACUUUCUCCGUUCCAAAUUACUAUUCGUUUUGACUUUUCAAGAUAUAUGGACUUUGACAUGCACUUAUAUAUAUUAUAUCUAGGUACAUAACAAAAGUUAUGUAUCUAGAACAGUCAAAACGAAUAGUCCACGAAUAGUAAUUUGGGACGGAGGGAGGAUAUACUAUAUGUGCAAACCAAAAUUACUGUUCUGAGAGUUUCUGAUGAAGGCCCCUUCUGUUUCUGUCGAACAAUAUGACAACAGGGGCCCACACGUUUGGCAGGGUGCAGUGCCUAAACAUCGCCGACUCCCCGGCCGACCGGCUCUACAACUUCAGCGGGACAAACAGGCCUGACCCAACCCUUGACCCGGCUUACCGAGCAUUCCUAAUCCGGAGGUGCCCGACGAAGAAUGGCAACAGCCCGGUUCUAAACGACCUCGAUCCAACAACACCAGACCUCUUCGACAAGAACUACUACACCAACCUUGAAGUGAACCGUGGGAUCCUCACUUCCGACCAGGAGCUCAAGUCCUCGCCCCAAGCGCGGGGCACCACGGCGCCGAUCGUCGACCAGUUUGCGAGGAGCCAGGACGCCUUCUUCAAGAGCUUUGCGCAGUCCAUGAUCAACAUGGGGAACAUUCAGCCCAUUACUGACCCCUCCAUGGGAGAAGUCCGUUGCGACUGCAAGAAGGUUAACGACAGUUAAAAAAUGAGUAAUCACGUGGAUGUGCUCCUCCGAUCCGUUAGUUUCAAUUGUACAGAUCCAGUACCUUGGCUCCUCUAAUGUGCAGAUCAUUACUUAUUGUUCUUCUGUUUAUAAUUGUUCAUAAAUGUGCAAUAAAGAGGAAACAAUUUCUCCUGUUAGCUUACAAGUAUGCUUGAUCCUCCUCUUGGCCUCUUGGGACACUAUUGCACAUAGAGACAAGGGGGAAUUCCAAGCAAUAUAUGGCAUGGAAGGGAUAUAUAAGAACAUUUUCAGUGGCAAAUUCAGGUUUCAGUAACAUUCAGUGGCACAUAAGGAAUUCUGUCAAUUAUUUUGUGAAAAAAGUAACAUCGCUCUAGUGCUUCACAAUACCUUCCCUUUCUAGCUAUUACGUUACAAAUACAUUAACUAUGACCAUCCACAAUACUGUUUGCGUAUAGAUGAAUGUGUCUUCGUUUUUUUUUCCUAAAGAAGCCUUGUUGGAUUUUCUCUAAAAAUAAACCACUGGGGACGACGAGAAAACCACCAUGCUGACGUGCUCAACAUAGGUCCAUGCUAAGAUAAGGAGGAUAGGCCCCCAGCUCGAUCAUCACUAGUCGGCAUAGCAUACAAUCCAACAAGCAGCGAAUGGCAAUCAGCGGAACAGUGUUGAUCUUUUGAAUCACGGAUCACAUCGGUCAUGAAUGCAACGUUUACCCUUUUUUAUUUCAGGUCUAUUUCAUGACCAGGACAUGCUUGAAGGAGAAUGAAGAUGAAUAACCAGAAAAAGAUCGCAGAAGAAGAAAAAUAGUGAUGUAAACACAAGGAUGUUGGUAAUCAUCUGAUGAUGAUUGAUUGCAUGCAUUAGUUGUUGUUUUUUUCACAUAUUGUUCUCAACAGCAUAUUCAGUAGGUUUUGCUUAAUUCAAUUCAAACAUAUUGCAACAUCAAAAUUAUUCACUGGACAGAAAAUGGUGCAUAAAUCCUAUAUACUCUGAGGAAGAAUCGGAAGUAGUAACGUACUAACGUUAGAGUAGAAAGAAAAAAAUGUUUCUACUGUAGAACUCGCGCUAUUUGUAGGGCAAUUAUUGACUUGUACACUAGCAUGCAGUACAGUGCAGUUUUGUGACGAAUAUGGAUAUGAACAAAGUAUAGCUAACGUUAGGUGCACCACCCAGUGUGGCAUGAACCAUAUAGACAUCGGUUGCACUAUUAUUGCUGUUCUCAUCUUUGUAGAUGCAUGUGUGCAGUUCCCUAGUAAUACAAGGCAUGCAGUCAUCAUGUCACAAGUGGCAGAGAGCAAAGUUUGACAAGUCUUGACCACCAGCAUUUUGCGUCCAGGAUGAUGAUUGAUUGGUCAAGCUUUUUGGACCGUACUUGACCCGUGUGCCUACCCUAUCUGCAUCUCCCUUCACCCAUCCAUGCACAUUUUUUAUCCAUGGCCGUCAUCAUUGAGCAAGCAAAUAACGGCUAGUUGAUUUGAGAUUAACUGGCAAUCAUGCACGCAUAUGCUCGUUGAUCCGUACGUUAAGUGUGGAGCUACAGCCUAUAAAUUACGUGCGCGCGUGUGCCUGCUGCCUCAUCUAUCACUUGAUGGUUCAACACACACCACACACAUAAAACAUAGAGACAUGCCUUCCUCUACACGUCCUCGCGCAGCCGCCGCCGUCGCCGGCGUGCUAGCGGCGGCGGUGGCUGCAUUGUGCCUCCACGGUGCGGCGGCGCAGCUGUGCGAGACCUACUACGACGACACGUGCCCCGACGCCUAUAACAUCGUGAAGCAGGUGCUCAUCGACGCCCACAAGUCCGACGUGCGCAUCUACGCCAGCCUCAUCCGCCUCCAUUUCCACGACUGCUUCGUCCAGGUACCUGCUGCCUGCCGCUGCCGUCACCGGCCGCCAUGGCCACGCAUGCCAAGCUUCUGAUGCAUGUAAAUGUAGGGCUGCGACGGGUCGCUGCUGCUGGACGGCGUGCCGGGGGUGAUCAACUCGGAGAAAGGCGCGCCGCCCAACAACAACUCUGCGCGGGGGUUCCCGGUGGUGGACAAAGCCAAGGCGGCGCUGGAGGGCGCCUGCCCCGGCGUCGUCUCCUGCGCCGACAUCCUCGCCCUCGCCGCGGAGAUCUCCGUCGAGCUGGUACGUAUGUGCGGUGGCCCUAUGACUAUGAGGCGCAUGAUGCCAUCAUGCAAACAGAAAGGAUCGUCCUGCUGCAAAACACAGGGCCCCACCCAUCAACACAAGGAUCCAAUUAAUCCAUCGAGAUACUGCAACUUCUAGCACUUCCCAAAAAAAAAAACAUGAACCCUAUGCACAAAUUAAAACACAAGGAUCCAAUCCAUCGAGAUAAUGCAACUUCUGCAAUAUAGAGCACUUGCAAAAAAAAACAUAUUGCACUUGUCCACCAACAAUAAUACCCUAUGCACAAAUUAAAGAAUCUACAUACGACAGGAACAAGAGCCUACAUAGCAGCAGGUGCGUGCAAACAAAAGGACGUUUGUCCUGCUGCAGAACGCGGGGCCCCACCCAAUGUGUGCAUUAUUCGAACACGGAAUAAAUCCAUCGAUCGAUAAUACAACUACUGCUGGCUGUAAUUAGUAAUUUUUCGCUUCACUCUAAUCUCCGUGCGCAGUCCGGCGGCCCAAAGUGGGGCGUUCUGCUGGGGAGGCUGGACGGCACGACGGCCGACUUCAACGGCGCAUCCAACCUGCCGGCGCCCUUCGAAAACCUCACCGUGCUCCAGGGAAAGUUCAAGGCCGUCGGCCUUAACGACGUCGACCUCGUCGCUCUCUCAGGCACGAGCCCGCAUCUUAUCAGUUCCGGUUAAUCAAACUCAUUAUCAUUAAUUAGUUACGACGUAAUCCAUCCAUCCCAAAUUGUAGGUCAUUUUGACAUUUCUAGAUUCAUAACUUUUACUAUGUAUCUAGACUUAUAUCCAGGUGCAUAUAGUAAAAUCUAUAAAUCUAGAACUGAUAAAAUGAACUACAAUUUGGAAUGGAGGGAGUACAUGUGUUUCUCAUCAUUCAUGACCUUUUCUUAGGAAUGCAAGCAAUAAAUACUUGAUUUACUUGGUUCACCAAAAACUUGAUAAAAAUUAACUAGACCGACAUUCCACGUAAUUAAUUUGUGAGGAGAAUUGAAAUAGAGUAGCAUGCCAUUAUAAUUAAUCAGUUGUUGUCGGCUUUUCCUUGACGUACAUGAACUAUAUGUACAUAGUUGUCACAUGAAACUUAAUGCACAGUAUACCAGAUUGCUGUUCUCACCAACGACCCAUCUGAUGUUUCUAUUGAAUAUAAUGUGAUCGCAGGGGCCCACACAUUUGGUAGGGUACAAUGCGCAAACAUAGCCGACGCCCCAGCUGACCGACUCUACAACUUCAGCGGGACGAACCGACCUGACCCGACCCUGGACUCGGCUUACCGAGCAUUUCUAUCCCAGAGGUGCCCGAGAAAUGGCAACAGCAUGGUUCUCAACGAUCUUGAUCCAACAACACCAGAUAUCUUUGACAAGAACUACUACACGAAUCUUGAAGUGAACCGGGGGUUCCUCACUUCCGACCAGGAGCUCAAGUCCUCGCCCCAAGCACGGGGCACAACGGCACCGAUCGUCGACCAGUUUGCGAGGAGCCAGGAUGCUUUCUUCAAGAGUUUUGCACAGUCCAUGAUCAACAUGGGGAACAUUAAGCCCGUGACUGACCCCUCCGUUGGAGAAGUCCGUUGCAACUGCAGAAAGGUUAACGACAGUUAAAAACGUGGAUGUGCUCCGGUAGUUUCAAUAGUACAGAUCAAGUACCUUGGCUACUGUAAUGUGCAGAUCAUUACUUAUUAUUCUUCAGUUUUAUAAUUGUUCAUAAAUGUGCAAUAAAGAGGAAACAAUAAUUUCUCCUGUUAGCUGACAAGUAUGGAAGGUAUAUAUAUAAGAACAUUCACUACUACAAAACAUAGAUAUUGUAACACAUUGUUGUAACACAUUCAUCAUUGUGUUACAAUGGAGUUUCAUUUUUUUUGAAACCUUUAACAAUGGAGUUUCAUAGGAACACAAAAGUAUGUGUUACAAAUGAACGUUGUAACACUUAGUGCUAGUUUCGUAAAAAGUUUGUUACAAACAAGGAUUAUAUAUAGUAACACAAAAUUAAUGUUGCAGCUAAAAUGUUACAAAGAUAGUAGUAUAUUGUAACACAUAGAAAAUAAUGUUACAGCUAAAAUGUUACAAAGAAACAUGUAUAUGUUCUUGUUUGAUGAUCCAUUCAUAUUUCCAUAUAGAUGUCUACCACUUUAUAGUACCUCAGUGUUAAAUACAUAAACAAUAUGGAAAAAAUGAGAAGAGACGACAUGACGGCCGCGGACAUAAAGAAACGGUGAGUUGUAGUCAGCUCUGAUGUAUGAGCCUACAAGGUUGGUGCUGCUUUAAACGGGUCCGACCGUCCGAGAGAUGUCAAGAUGAUGAAUGCGAAAAAGAAGAUACAGUAUUGGGGCUGUGGACUGGAUGAGGAAGUGAUCAGUAGGGUCGUCAUAGCUAUGUGCCAGUUGCUGGUCAUAAAGGUUGGCUCUGCUUGACAUUAAUUUAUAGCGACCUUAUAACUAAAAUAAUUUUAAAAUACUUAGCAUUCACGCACAAACCUAUGAAAAAUUGGAGUUUUCAUUGGCAUGGUAAGAUGGUGUUCAGAAUCCUUUAAAAAUAUGACAAAACAAUUGCAGAAACAAUAAUCAAAUACUAGAUUCUUCACUUAAUUUGUGGAUUAGCUUACCAUCAGGCUGUAACACUUUGUUUUUUGCUUUUCCUUGCAAUUUUGUUUCUAUAACAAAAAAAAAAGAUGGCCACCACUUGUACAUUAUUGAUGAUGGCCACGCAGCGCAUGUUCAUUCCAUAGGGCACGAAUCUAACGAGGAAUUAUUCUCUGUACUGAAAUCUACGUGUAUGAUUUUAUAAUAGAGAUUUACUCCACGACAAUCAAUUGAAAUCUUGUCCAUCAAUUACUGGAUUUUAUACUAGACAUUUAGUGGGAACAAGGAUUUGGAGUUAGGGUUUGGGAGAUUUUAGGUUGGGAGUUACCUAUGACUUGUGGGCCUAGAGCGAGUUCUGGACAGCUCACUGGCCGACAGUGAAGGUGGGAGAGAUGGCACGAUGGAGUGAAGUGGAGGCGGAAAGGGUGUGUGUGUUGGAUGGGGGGAGCGUGGUAUGGCCCAAAUAGGAUUGCAUGGGUCGAUGACAAAAGGUGGAAGCUACAGCUAUUGAAGGCAGUAGUAGUGAAAGGUCAUCACACAUUGAGAUCAAUCGGGUGACCGCAUGAGCUAGGAAGACAUAGUUGACUUUACCUAGUAUUUUAUCUACAACCACACAGAUAUAUUUGACACAUACAUAUAAGGGUGCUAAUCAGGGGCGGACCCAAGCCCAAAACCGAGUGAGGGCUUGCUAACAGCUCGGCUUGCUUAAGCUAGAGUAAAAGGCCUAAUUCCCUUUGAAUAUCAGAAUUCGAGUGUGGGCCUGGGUCCACGCUGGCCAUAACAUGGGUCCGCCACUGGGUCUAAUGGAUCAUGACUCUUAUACCUCCUCACAAUCUAACAUGAUCCUAAUUAAUUUUAGUUCAAAAUAUAUAAUAUUUUAGAUCCGAUCCUUGAAAUUGUUAUGCUAAAUUAUUAGGUACAACCCCUACAUACGUACUACAACAAAAUUGUUUCAUGAGUUAUACUUUACCUAUUAGUUUUUUUUUGAGAAAGCCAUUUGGCGCCCUUUAUUGAUAUUGAAUAAUAGUUACAUCGUUCGCCAAAGCUCCUAGAAUGAAACUAGGGGGUUCAUCGACCCAAUUACAAGAUAAUUUGCUUUUCAUUGCUUCUCUAGCUAACUCAUGUGCUGCACAAUUCGCCUCCCGAUUACAAUGAUCGAUGCAAAUAGAAACAAAAUCUUGCCAUAGUAUGAAACACUCAUCAUAAAUCGGAGCACUAGCUGUCGCUGAGAUGCCGUCUUGUUUCAUCGUCUCAACUACCUCCACACAGUCUGACUGAAUCAUAAUUCGAUUGCAUCCCAACAAUUGCGCCAACACCAGGCCUUCCUUAAGAGCUGUCACCUCUGCCAUAGCAGCAUCUACAAUAUUUUCAAAGUAACAGACCCUGGCUCCCAUAAAAUUUCCCGUUGAAUCUCUGAUGAUUGCGCCUGUGCUGCCUGUGCUCGAUUCAGCUUUGUAACUUGUAUCAACAUUCAGCAAUAUCCUGCCCUCCGGGGGCUUUUUCCAUCCAUCUUCUUUCUUACUCUUCUUGUUCAUUGAUCUCUGAAAAUUUGCUGUCAAUGUUGCUAUUGCCAUACUCGCUCUUGUCGGAUUUUGGACAGACUCUCCAUGUACAAACUUCCUGCGUUCCCACCAGAUAUACCAUCCACCUGUUAGGAUCAAUUCGGCCAUACCCACAUGGUUUAACCCAUCGACUAUUUUAGGUACCAUGAUCAUCUCGGCCACUGCCUCUGAACCCGAUCGGUGAGUCGAUACAACUGCGUUGAUCUCAUCAGCAACACCAAGUGUACGCCAAAUCUCCUUUGCUCGAUAACAUGUAAAUAAAACAUGUCUAAUAUCUUCACAGCUUUCAUGACAAGCAGGACAACUGCUAUUUUCCUCAAUGUGUCGAUUUGCAAGGAUCCCUCGGCAGGGAAUCAGACCAUGCAAAACCCUCCAUCCAAAAAUCUUUAUCUUUGAAGGCACAUCUAAGCUCCAGAGCUUCGACCAGACUUGUUCACAACCUGCUCCACCAGCUUGGUCAAAAACCCUGUUUGCUCCAAACUUGUGAUUCCAUUGCAAAUGAUAUGCUGACCCAGCCGAGAAGUAACCAUUUUUGUUAUAAUGCCACGCCACUACGUCUUCUCUUCCCUGUCGAAGGGGAAUCUGCAGAAUUCUGUUCACAUCAAUAUCCCAGAACAGUGCCUUUAUCAGAUCUUCAUCCCAUGUGCCUGUUGCUGGGUUGAUCAGCUCAUCCACCCUAGUGAUCAAAUUGUUUCCUCUCAAUGUUUGUACUUUCAUGUUAUGACUAGAUGGAAUCCAGUGAUCCUCCCAUAUGUUGAUUUGUGUUCCAUCCCCCACUCGCCAAAUGUAUCCUCUUUUGAAACAUUCUAGUCCUGCUAUAAUACUUUGCCAUGUGUACGAGCUCCCACUCUUCAGUCUUGCAUUCAGAAGUUUCCCAUCUGGAUAGUAUCUUGCCCUUAGUGCUCUUGCACAUAAAGAGUUUGGUUCUGACAAUAAUCUCCAAACUUGUUUUGCUAGCAGGGCCUUAUUAAAAAGCUUCAAUAUCUCUGAAGCCCAUACCACCCCUAUUCUUUGGAAUACAGAGCUUCCACCAAGCUUUCCAAUGUAUCCUUUUAUGAUCCUCAUCGUCGCCCCACCAGAACUGAGAUAUGGCGUCUGCUAUCCCUUUGCAAAUGUUUUUCGGGAUGUUGAACACCAUCAUCGCAAAAAUAGGCACGGCUUGAGCAAUGGAUUUUAUAAGGAUUUCUUUUCCUCCCAUACUUAGUAGCUUCUCCUUCCAACCUUUUGUUUUCCCCCGGACCCUAUCAACCAAAUACUGAAAACAGUCACUUCGAUCUGCCCCUACCAUGGCUGGGAGCCCAAGGUACUUAUCAUUUAGUGAUUCGGUCAUGAUGUUAAGGGUCUCACACACCUCCACUUUAACUUCGACAUCUGUAUUAGCACUGAAAUAAAUGCUAGAUUUUGCAUCACUGACUUUUUGUCCUGAAUUGGAACAAUAUCUAUCAAGCAAGUUCUUUAGCACAUCUGCAUUUUCCUUAUCUGCUUUCAUCAAUAUCAGGGAGUCAUCAGCAAAUAACAAGUGUGAAACAACUGGUGCCUCCCUGCAUACACGCACACCUUGUAAUUCCCCCCUACUUUCUGCUCCCCUCAACAAACUCGAUAAACCCUCAGCCACCAUUAGGAAUAGGUAGGGGGACAAUGGAUCCCCUUGCCUCAAACCUCUUGUAGGACAAAAGGUUUCUGUCUCCAUUGAAUUUACUCUGACCUUGUAUUUUACAGAUUUUACACAAGCCAUGAUUAACUUUAUCCAUCUUCGAUCAAAUCCCAUUUUCAUCAUAAUUUUUUCCAGGAAACCCCACUCCACCCUAUCAUAUGCCUAAUGCAUAUCCAAUUUCACUGCACAUAACCCCUUUUUGCCUCUUUUCUUUUUGAUAGUAUGAAUACUUUCAUAAGCUAAAAGAAUGUUAUCAGUGAUGAGUCUCCCUGGCACAAAUGCGCUUUGGUGAUCACUAAUAACAUCUGACAAAAUUACCCGAAGCCGAUUUGAUAGCAUUUUUGAUAUGAUCUUAUACACCACAUUGCACAGACUUAUAGGUCGGAAUUGGGAGACCAGAGUAGGGUUGUUUACCUUAGGAAUUAGAACAAUUGUCGUAUCAUUCCACCCAUCUGGUAUUUUUGCUGAGUUCACCGCUUCAAGCACCUCCAUCACCAAGUCAUCUCCCAACAGCUCCCAAAAUCUUUUAUAAAAAACAGCAUGCAUACCAUCAGGCCCUGGGGCCUUAAAAUCGCCAAUCUGAAACAAAGCUUUUUUAACUUUCUCGUGGGUAAACGGCGCCAACAGUCCCAUGUUCAUAUCCUGUGUGACAGAUCGUUGGACAUCUGACAACACACUAGGAUCCGGAUCCCCCACUUCUGACGUAAACAAAAUCUCAAAGUAGUUUUGGACUAUGUUACACAUAGCUACACCAUCUUCCUGCCUUGUCUCAUUGUCAUCCAUCAAUCCCUUAAUUGUGUUCUUUUUUCUCCUCUUCGUUGCAAAAUUAUGAAAAAAACUUGUGUUCCUAUCACCCUGCUUAAGCCAAUUUGCUCUAGCUCUUUGGAGCCAGUGAAUUUCCUCUUGCUCCAGCAUGAGUUCUAGGCGGACCAUAAUCUCCUUCUAGGAUUCUGUGUUGGCAUCAUUCAUCGGUCCCCUUUUCAAUCUUUCUAACUCCCUUUUUAGAUCGGAUAUCCUCUUUGCCAGUGCCUUUAGCACCUCCUUAUCCCAUUUAUGAAGUUCCUCAUGGACGUCAUUCACCUUCUCCAAAAAUGAUGGUCCAUCGCCUCGGGCCUUUGCUCUCACCCAUGCAGCUUUGAUCAUCUCUUCCACUGUAUGCUCCUGCAGCCAUCUUGCCUCGAAUCGUUUCUUGCUCCCACCUCCUUGAAUUGGUGAAAGAUAAAGAGUAUCCAUCACAAUCGGUCUAUGGUCUGAUCUUGUACUCUCACUGUUUAUCAGAGUCGACUGAGGAAACAGGUCUGACCACUGCAUGUUAGCAACCGCUCUAUCCAGCCUUUCUCUUAUGUGACCACAUUAGCGUUACUAUUUAUGUUACACAUAUUAUGUUACUCGUAUCCUUAAAUAUGAAGCUGCCAGUUCGUACAUAUUUUUGCUACUAGUAACAUGUUUAAUAUUAGCGAAUGGAUGUUUUUUUAAGAAAAAUUAUCCAGAUCUGUAAAGCUGGUAUAUUUUCACUAGUUCGUAUACCCUAUCUAAGUCUACUGCCAGAAAAAAUAUCACCAAACUAGUGUUUUAGAGCAAGUACAUUGCUACACAUCAGCGGUUUUAUAGGUCGUCUCAUGCAGUACCACGUAGGAUUUUUGAUGAUGUGUAGAGGAGAGACCAAGGAGAGAGAAAGAUGUUGUUUCGCGAAACAACCACCUUAUGAGCUAAAUUGUAGAACUAUGAGACAACUCAAUAACCAUUGUAUAAGUUAUUGUUGCCAUGCAACUCAUAAUAUUUCCUUUUUUCAUAUACACAAAUUAAGAAAUUAUAUAACUCUAUCAGACAACUUGUAAGAUAACCCAUUCUACGGGUUGCUUGUUGAGUUUUAUCAAGAUUACGUGUCAAUGUAUAAAACCAUUUAAUCGUCUAUUAGAUGAUACCAAUGUAACUUAAUUUCCCUCCUGAUACAAAAAAAAACUAACUUUUCGGAUUUUACCAUUUGAUUAGUUUCCCUCCAGAAAUUCCCGCUGACUCCUUUUGCAGAUACGGAACAAAUCACGUUGACUAGAGAAAAGAAGGCCGGUUCCUAUUGGACUCUAGAAGUCUACGGAGGGUGUCAUUGACUCAUUGUCCACGCCGCAGGUCUCAAGGACGAUGUUCCUUGUCGAGCAGUCGAGGUAAUCAAAUCAGGUAACUGAAUCCCAUCUAGCCGAUGCGAUCUGCCCUCUCCCCAACCGCACUCACCUCCCUCCCCGCCUUGCAGUUGUGCGGCCGAGCCAUAUCUCCCGAUAUCCCAGCGCCCGGCCUACCUGAUGGGCGAUGAUCUCUGGCGGAGGAUCCAAAAAUUACAAGAUCAGGGCGCGGGGUGAGCAAAUGCACCGUUCUUCUGAUUGUGAUUUGAAUCGUUACAUAUGGAAGAAGAUGUAGUGCAUUAGCAUGCUACACCAGGCUGCAGGUCGAUGUCUCGAUCCAUCUGCAAUCUCUAGGAUUAAAGAUGGGUUCGACAGUCGAUGUGCUGUUAUUCUCGGUUUGGCAUAGCUGUAGUGAGAAUAAUCAAUCAAUUAUCAAAAAUUAUCAAUUUUUUGCCUGCUUCUAUGGUUCGCUCAUUUUGCAAUUACUGAAUUUGUCAUCAUGUGGCUCGGUUCAGAGAUUAUGUGCUAAUUGUUUUCUGGCCGAGAAAUACAUCCUGUUACUACGUAUUGCUUGUGCUAUCUACUUGUUCCUGCUGCUGUUUGGCUCGUUGGAAGCUACAAUUGUGAUUCUGUAUUACUACAGAUACUAACCAUGCAUUCUGGAUAAUACAAUUGUGUCUGAACUAAGUACUGUUCAUCAUCUGACACUAUGAUUUUGUUCUGUUUCCAUUUACAGGUGAACAUUAUUUUGGCUUGCUUGUAAUUUGAGUAAAAUUUAAGUGAAGCAAUCAUCUGACACUAGUUUAGCAGUAGGUUCUCAAAUAAUCUAUAACCUCAAUAUGUAAUUUUAUUCUGCUUUUUUAUAUAUUGUUGCAGUAUGGCUGGUGAGAGUUGGGGAGUUUAGUUUUUGAUUGUGAGGGGGGCACCUCAAGGACAAGAAUUCCAAAAAAAUGAACUGGACAUAGCUGAUCGAUGUCAAAUAGCUUGAUUUGUUUCAAGAACAACUUGUGUAUGCAAAGGACUACUUACAUACUAUAAGAAGUGAUCCAGGAGGGAAGUGGCAUGUCUUGACCUGAUUGAUUUUGAUCAUGAAGUGCCAAUGUUUGCUUUUAUUUUGCUGCAUUUUUUAUACCGUGAAUUCUUAUCGGUCAUGUAACAAGCAUGUGUGGUUGAUGGGUUCAUGGCCUGUACAGAUAUAACAUAUUGAUGACUUGCAGAAUUUAGGGAUGAUUAUAGAGAGGAUACAGUCAAAACAUGUAAGGAUUUCCUGAGGGUGCAAGGUGAAAUUCAAUGUAUCUGUGAUUUAUUGUAUAUUAUAUUGAUCAUAAUAUUCUUGAAUGAAAAAUGACCAUAUGGAUUGAUGUAAUCUAUGUGGCGCAGGUUGUGCUUUUAUAUAUGUCUUACAAAUUUUCAUUGAUCAUUCCCUGUCCGUUAAGCACUUCUGAAAAACUGAGCAUUAGUCCUAACUCAUAGUACUGGUUGGUUUUUGACCCGGUACUAAUAUGAGCGUUAGUACCGGGUCUACCUAGUAGCCCUCCAUGACCCCCUUAGUACCGGUUGGAGCUCCUACCCGGUACUAAAGAUCUACCCUGCCUUAUCCGUCCACUCCCCCGACCCAUACCCGCUUCCCUCUCUCCUUAUUCGCUCCCUCUCCCUCAGCUCCUCCCUCCCUUUCUCACUCUUGGCCCGGUCUCCCUCCUCUCUUCCUCCCUCUCUCACUCCCUCUCUCCUUCUCUCACUCUCCCAUUUGGGCGCGCGGGGAGGUGAGGCGUUGGGGGCUGAAGGCACUGCGGCCGGCCCCGACUGCGCGUCGGUAGGAUGUGGUGGCGGGGGGAGGGCGGCAGGGGCUGGGCGGGAGGGGCAUGCGAGGGUGGCGGGAGGGUGGCGGGGGUGGUGGGAUGGCGGGGGCCGGGCUCGGGCUUAGGCGGGUGAUUUCUUUUUUUAUUUUUAAUACCCCUUAAGUACCAGUUAUGAUCCUUUAGUACCGAAGUAGCAAUACCGGUUGCACAACUGGUAAAAGGGGGUUAGAAAUCGGUACUGAAAGGGCUUUCCCUAGCAGUGAAGUCUCGCUUCCAAUUUUUCAUUGAACAUUCCCGUCCAUUAAGUCUUGCUUCAAAUUUUUCCUUAACAAUUAAAAAGUUCAAUAUUAUGAUUUCCAAUGCUGAAAGCAAGUGAAAUAAUUUUAAUACUAUAUUAUCUUGGCAUAAGUUAAGACUUCAUAUAUGUUGCUUUCCAAAAUGCUUGAAAGCUUGCUGAUAUGUUGUUUCUUGGUCGUGUAUUGACGCCGGAUGUUCUUUGCUCAUGCUUAUUUAAAUACCUAAGAAAAUAACAAAAAAUAGGUAGGGGUGUGGUGAUAAAAUUUCUGGUGCGUCGCACAUCCGUGAAAGAAUACUAGUUGAUCGCAAAGAACUGUCAUGUCUUUCUUAGGUGGUAUUCUAGAGAAGUCUAUGUCCAGUGAUGAUAUAACAUGCUAAUUACAAGGAAUUUUCACAUCUGCAAGCAGAGCCAUCUUCCCCACAAUGCUCUACUAAUGAUUUGAGACAAAAAGAGGUAUACUAUUCUAGCUGAAUCGUUGACUAAAUAUAUAUUAUCCAUGCAAUGUUUCAAUCAUUCAGGAUUAUUGUUGCACUUGUACAACUGUAUAAAUACAAUAUUUUCAUUUGCAUUAAAUUUGAUAUGUGUAUAAAGAAUUCAAGUGUUGUAGAAUAAAAAAAAGAAAGAUAUAUGAGAAACACACUUCUCCAUUGGAGUCAAGCUAGGCAAACAAUUUUACAAAGUUCGCAUCAAUCAUCCUAUUAUACAAGAUGAGCCAUUAGUAAGGCUCAUGCUACAACAUCAUUGGUUAUGCCCAUGUUAAAGGAGCACCAAUUGCUUGACCUUCAAUUUGUGUAUGUCACAACUAGCUUAGCAUUACAACUAGCUUUCUUUGAACAAGUUGAAAUGAUCAAUGUUACAACUUUCUUUCUCUAUGCACGUUGAAAUGAUCAUAGUUAAAUUGCUAUAUUUGGUAAAGAAUGGAUCAAGAAGCAAUAGAUUGGAAGAAUAUAGCAUAUUUAUGUUUCAAUUUCAUUCCCACUAGUCCAAACUCAUACUAUUCAUUGCAAUGUAAAUUUCCUCUAUAGAAUCAUGUCCUUAUGUAAAUAUACUACUACAUUUUGUAAAUAAGGACAAUGUUUCCUUCCUAAAAUCACUGUAGCUUCUCGUGAUCAUUGAAAAAAUGUGGUUUUUGUCAUUGUGCAAUGUGUCACAUUCCCUCAAAAAUAUCAUGUACAUGUCAUUAUUAUAUGACGUACACAAGUGUAAAAUAGUUAUUUCUUUUUCAAAUUUUGUAUGUGUUACAAUAGGUAAAGCAUGUGUUACAAACAUAUGUUCCUAAAAUUCCAUACAUUGUUCUUACAAAGUGUUACUACCACCGUGUGCAAGUGUUACUAGAGCUUAAAAAAAAUGUUACACAAGAGAAUUGUUGUAACACUUAAAAAUGUUCCAUCAAAUCAGUAAUUGUGUUACAAAGUAGUAACACUUUUUUGAGUGUAAAAGAACACAUAUCUUUUGUUCCAAUAGAUCAGACUGUGGUAAGACCACCUAAAGUAAAGCUAACAAGAUGUGUUACUAGGUCACCUCAUAACACAUUUACUGAGCUACAGUAACACAUUCUGGUGUUAUACUAAAACCAUGUUCUGUAGUAGUGAUUAUCAGUGUCAAAUUCAGGUUUCAGUAACAUUCAGUGGCACAUAAGGAAUUCUAUCAAUUAUUUUGUGAAAAAAAUAGCAUCGCUUUAAUGCUUCAAAAUAUCUUCUCUCUCUAUCACGUUACAAUUACAUAACUUGAACAUAUCCACAAUACUGUUUACAUAUAGUUGGAUGUGUCUUCUUGUUUUUUUUCUAAAUAGCCUUGUUGGGUUUUGAUCUAAUGAUUGAGUGACAUAAAGUUGAAUAAUUGAGGACGGGCGGACGGAGAGAAAACCACCAUGCAUGCUAACCUGCUCAACAUAGGUCCAUGACUCCAUGCUCAACAGCUCAAGAUGUGGAGGAUACACCCAGAGCUCACUAGUGGGCCUAGCAUAUAAUCCCAACAAGCGAAUGGCAAUGAGUUGAACAGUGUUGAUCUUUUGCAUCACGGACAUCGGUCAUGAAUGCAACGUUGACCUUUUUUUUAUUUCAGGUCUAUUGCUUGACCAGGACAUGCUUGAAGGAGAAAGAAGUGAAUAACCAGAAAAAAGACUGCAGGAGAAGAAAAAUAGUGAUAUAAACACAAGGAUGUUGGACUGUUGGUAAUCAUCUGAUGAUGAUUGAUUGCAUGCAUCAGUUGUUUUUGUCAUAUCAUUUUCAGAUUACACUACUGGAGAACAAACCUUCCAUUUAGGUGCUUUUGCCCCUCCCCCUUUAUCAUGGUUGGUAAUUCCAACCGGGACUAAAUUUUUUAUCCCGGUUGGUCCAACCGGGACAAAGCGCUUUCCCACGUGUCCCCCUCUCUCUCCAUAUUAAUAUCUUCUCCUCAUACCAGUGCAGAUCCCCUCUCUCUCCUUUUCCUUAUCCUCGUGCAGAUCGCCUCCACCCUUUCCUUCUCUCUUGCGCAGACCUCCUCUAGCUUCUCCCUCUCCUCCUCUCUGUGCUGCCGCCUCCCCUCCCCUCCCUCCUGCCUUCCUCUCCCGCCCCCUCCCCCUUUGCUGCCCCUCCCCUUCCCCCUCUGCUCGCCCCUCACUGGCAGUGAGGAGCGGCAGCGGGGUGAGGGCGGGCGGCGGGAGACCGGGCUGCUGGCGGGCAAGCGGGCGCGGGUGGAGCCUGGUGGCGGCGGGCGGAGGCCGAGCGGGUACGGGUGCGGGCGGGUGGGCGGUGGGCGUGGGCGAGUGGGGGCAAGCGGCCGGCACGGGUGUUACCAACUGGGACUAAAGGGGAUUUUUAGUCCCGGAUCUUUUGUCUCGAAUAAUUAGUCCCGGAUGGAUUUUCGGGAUCUAUGACCCAGGGACUAAAGAUCCGUUUUUCAGUAGUGUUACCCUUAAUAGUAUUCAGUAGGUUUGCUUAACUCAGUUCAAACACAUUGCAACAUCAAAUUAUUUUUUUAACCAAAAAUAAAUGGUGCAUAAAUUCUAUACUCUGGGGAGGACUGAAGUAGUAACGUUAGAGUAAAAAUAUAGAAAUGUAAAUAAGUGGGUUACAGAGGAUGCAAAAUCAGCAUAAUGAUUUUUGCUGUGGUACCCGUAUUCAAAUGCUACCCUUAGUUCACAUUUGAGCUUUAUCAAGGAUAUGCUCACUGUAACCAAGUUUCUUCCGGCCAAAAUUUUCGAUUCGCCACAAAUGUUCAACACUCUCUCUAGUCGGAUCACCUUCACCUCGUGGCCUAAAUGGGCCAUAUUUCUUACAUAUUCUUUCAGUCAAGUAUGUGGUCUUUUACGGUAUAGCUAGAUAGUUACGAAAAUAGUAGAGACCUUUCAUCAGCUUUAGGAGUAGUUGAAGCUACAAUGUUUAUUAGAAGGAAAAAUGGAUGUUUGCAGCCUUGCCCUGGUUGAUUGGUGCAGAGGCAAAAGAUUACCACCAUUAUGUAAAACUUGAAGCUACAAAUAAUGUAACAGACCAUCCCACAAGUUUCUAUUCUCACAGAGGCAACAGGCUCCUCCAAAAACACAGCUGUAUCAUAGAGGGCCUACAUGUUCAUGCAUGCCGCUGAAAGUAUAUAUGUACGUCAUGAAAGCGAUGGCUAAACCACACAUGCCAAUGUUUGCAUGUUCUUUUCGAUACAGGGUGUCAGUUGACGCAAACAUAUCAUUGACUCAUUGUACUGAUGACUCUUUUCUUUGGGAGAACUUCGAUAUUUCAUCAAAAUAGAAUUUCCGAAUUCAUCGUUAAUUUUUGUUGGUUAUAAUACAUUUUCUUAUGGAAGUUCAGAUAAACAUUUAUUAAUUUCAAACUUGCUCCAUAUACAAUCAUGCAUUUGCACAUGGUAGUGGCGGCUAGGAUACAUAUACAAGUGAAACAUAUAUAAGAAAAAAAUGCGAAUGGACCACGCUAACUUUACGGACACAUCAACAAACAGGAAGAUGAGUAGAAGCAUGCUAUGUCAAGAUCACACCAUCACAACAAUACAAUAUAGGUCGUCAUCAUCGCAAUAGUAGGAUCAUGUAUGAUAGUAGCACUGGUCAACAUCCAGACCAAAAGAUACCAUGUAUUCGUAGUAUAUAUAUGGUCCGUCGGUAAAAUAAACUUUUGCGAUUAAUACUCAUAAAGAAUUUUACAUUAGCCCGUAUGGACUGUGGGAAAUUUGAAUAGUUAAAAUACUCCAACCUUCGAGAGAAGUUAUAUAUAGAUCUAUAUAGUAAUAUGAGCUGUGUAACAAAAAACCUAAUACAUCAUAAACGUGCCUAGCCGAAUUAAUGGUUCAUUUGUUGGAACAGCUGCAUUGGUAGCAACGAGGAUAGAUGUUCUGAGCUGCCCCUGCAACUUCAUUUGGUUUACUACUGGUCCCCGGUUCUUCUGUACUGCUCCCUCCGUUCAAAUUGUAGGUUGUUUUAGCUUUUUAGGUUCUAUGAAUUUAGAAAAGUCAAAACGACCUACAAUUUGGAACAAAUGAAGUACAAGAGAACAAAUAAUAGCCGCCAAUUAUUAAUAGGAAUGAAAAAGUUCAUAUGAAUUUUAAUUUUUGUUGUAGACUGAAUAAGGAUAUACAUAAUAAGGAGUAGGUCAAGGCAUGAUUGUAUACUAGUACUAUCGGAAAGGAGACUGGUGUCUCUCGUAUAUUAGCACAUGCAUUUGUUUUUUACUGUACUUACAGAUCACUUUAGACUUGUCACUCUGGAUUCUGGAACUUGUUUAGGAACCUGAAUUUCAUGUAGCAAAAACAUUUAGGCCAUGCUUGGAAGAAGGUGAUUUCUUUAGGAACUUUCAGAAUUUUGUGUUAAUAAUGUUACAAUUAAUACCAAGGCUAUGUUUAUUUUACAUCUGAUUGUAAAAACAGUGGUUAUAAGCUGAAGUGGAAACAAAUAGACAGAUUUUGAUGCAUGCCAGAUAGCUGAUGUCAUUGAUGUCCUAUCACGGAACUAUAUCACAUCGUCAUUCCAAAGCUAGCCCUUGUCAACAAGAUAAUCUUAUCAAUGCUAGCAUAUUAGGUCACAAGCACUUCUCCCAUAAAACAAGUACAGUAGCCAGUUUCACAAACAACAAAACACAACCAGCAUUAGGUACAGGACCUAACAAGAGCCCUACGUACUUGCGAAUACAUCCAUGUGCAGCUAGUACACAAGAAAAUGCAGUACUUAUACUGACAGCAGAUAGAGCAGCUGGCAGAAGGUUUGAAAAAUCUUGACCAUCAUGCGUGCGUUAUUGCUCAGGCAUAUUCGGCCAUCCUCCAGAUCCAUUAAUAUACUUCUUUCUAUAGACCCAUUUGUAUAUAUUUGUGUCUACUGUCUGUUUAUCGAUCUCUAUCGAACAGAAAGCAUUAGGCCAGUUGUUAAUUGAGACGGUGACUGAGAGUGAUCAAACCACCAUCAAUGAGGACGAUGACUAGCUUGUAACACUAUUGCAGCUUCAUAGUGAACUUAGUAUUAGGAACCGGCAUGGAUCGGUGACACAUGCCUCAUGUCGUCGAUCCCAUUAUUGUUUGUAUCUUUGCAUGUGAAGGUAGCGCAAAAUAUAAAAGACUUGUGGUUCGCACUCAGAAAUAAAGAAGGCGUUGGAGGAGCCAAUUUUUAUACCCCUUGAGUCUCGAAUGAUAAUGAAUUUAAUGAUCAUCAAUGUAUGAUUCGGAAGGUCAAUUAUUUUGGACCACGGUUGAACCACACAUCUGUCAGCACAUGGAUCCAUUAUUUUAACCAACACAGUACGUAGAUGCAACUUGGGAUUUUCUUUUUGGGAAUCGACACAAUUUGUGAUUGGGAAUCAUGCAUGCAAAUCAUGUUGACUUGUGAACGAACGACCACAAUGAUUGGUGCAGUAGUAGUACACUAGUACUUAGUUACCUUCUGCUUAUAAAAUCAGGGAAGCGUGACUGCCUCACCGUGCUCGUGUCUCUCCAUCGGUGGACAUUUCGGACGUAGAGAGUUUUCCUAGAGAUGGCUUCUUCUUCCUCUGCUCCUCGUGCAGCCGCCGUCGUCGCCGGCGUGCUGGUGGUGAUGGCCGCCCUGUGCCUCCACGGCGCAACGGCGCAGCUGUGCGAGGAGUACUACGACGACACGUGCCCCAACGCCUACGACACCGUGAAGCAGGUGCU